rnacentral:rRNA from 1 species
AUGCUGCACAAAUACCAGCGAGAUCUGGGUGGACGGGACACGGCCGCACCGCCAAGCCACGAUCCUCUCUCCUCUCUACCGUGGUGUAAGUGGUGCGGGGAGGCCCGUGCGCCGUCGACGGAGAUCUUGCCCAUGGGCUGUGAGUUUGGACUUCGCCGUGGCCGCUGCUCAUUCCGCCACCGCGCUGCGUGCCCUCACUGCCGACUGCACCCAGUCCGCCUCUGCUGUGUCCUGCGCUGGGUCGGCAUCCCAUUACCUGCAGGACCAUGGCCCUGUGGCGCCGACGUUGUCGACCACAGCAAUGCUGACACUGCCCGGGAUGUGUACUGGGCUGAGGCUCUGUGA